rnacentral:rRNA from 1 species
GACGAACGCUGGCGGCGUGCUUAACACAUGCAAGUCGAACGGUGACGAGGAGCUUGCUCCUCUGAUCAGUGGCGAACGGGUGAGUAACACGUGAGCAACCUGCCCCAGACUCUGGGAUAACAGUUGGAAACAGCUGCUAAUACCGGAUACGAGACGGAGAGGCAUCUCUACCGUCUGGAAAGUUUUUCGGUCUGGGAUGGACUCGCGGCCUAUCAGCUAGUUGGUGAGGUAAUGGCUCACCAAGGCGACGACGGGUAGCCGGCCUGAGAGGGCGACCGGCCACACUGGGACUGAGACACGGCCCAGACUCCUACGGGAGGCAGCAGUGGGGAAUAUUGCACAAUGGGCGAAAGCCUGAUGCAGCGACGCCGCGUGAGGGAUGACGGCCUUCGGGUUGUAAACCUCUUUCAGCAGGGAAGAAGCGAAAGUGACGGUACCUGCAGAAGAAGCACCGGCUAACUCCGUG